GACGAACGCUGGCGGCGUGCUUAACACAUGCAAGUCGAACGGAAAGGCCCUGCUUUUGUGGGGUGCUCGAGUGGCGAACGGGUGAGUAACACGUGAGUAACCUGCCCUUGACUUUGGGAUAACUUCAGGAAACUGGGGCUAAUACCGGAUAGGAGCUCCUGCUGCAUGGUGGGGGUUGGAAAGUUUCGGCGGUUGGGGAUGGACUCGCGGCUUAUCAGCUUGUUGGUGGGGUAGUGGCUUACCAAGGCUUUGACGGGUAGCCGGCCUGAGAGGGUGACCGGCCACAUUGGGACUGAGAUACGGCCCAGACGCCUACGGGAGGCAGCAGUGGGGAAUAUUGCACAAUCGGCGGAAGCCUGAUGCAGCAACGCCGCGUGCGGGAUGACGGCCUUCGGGUUGUAAACCGCUUUCGCCUGUGACGAAGCGUGAGUGACGGUAAUGGGUAAAGAAGCACCGGCUAACUACGUG
rnacentral:rRNA from 1 species